rnacentral:rRNA from 1 species
UAAACUAGGAUAGAUACCCUAUUAUACUUUAAAAAGUUUAUGUUGCUAGGAGAUUAAUAGUUAUAGUCUUUAAAUUUAAAGAAUUUGGCGGUGUCUUAGUCCUGUUAGAGGAACCUGUCUUAUAAAACGAUAAACCACGAAAAAUCUUACUUGUUUAAAUUAUUUAGUUUGUAUACCGUCAUUAUAGAGGACUUUAAGAGAAAGGAAUAAGUUGUUAAAAUUAAGUGGAGUUAAGAAUAUUAGAUCAAGGUGCAGUUAAUAGAUGAGGUAAGAUGGGUUACAAUGUAAUUAAUAUAAUACGGAUUGAAAGAGGAAAGUAUUUCAUAAAGGAGGAUUUAAUUGUAAGUAGAUUUUAAUAUGGUUUACUGAUAGGGGCUCUAAGUUAUGUACAUAUUGCCCGUCGCUUUCGUUAAUUAAAAUGAAAUAAGUCGUAACACAGUAGAUG